rnacentral:rRNA from 1 species
AACGAACGCUGGCGGCAUGCCUAACACAUGCAAGUCGAACGAAGUCUUCGGACUUAGUGGCGGACGGGUGAGUAACACGUGGGAACGUGCCUUUAGGUUCGGCAUAACUCAGGGAAACUUGUGCUAAUACCGAAUGUGCCCUUCGGGGGAAAGAUUUAUCGCCUUUAGAGCGGCCCGCGUCUGAUGAGCUAGUUGGUGAGGUAAAGGCUCACCAAGGCUACGAUCAGUAGCUGGUCUGAGAGGAUGACCAGCAACAUUGGGACUGAGACACGGCCCAAACUCCUACGGGAGGCAGCAGUGGGGAAUCUUGCGCAAUGGGCGAAAGCCUGACGCAGCCAUGCCGCGUGGAUGAUGAAGGUCUUAGGAUUGUAAAAUCCUUUCACCGGUGAAGAUAAUGACUGUAGCCGGAGAAGAAGCCCCGGCUAACUUCGUGCCAGCAGCCGCCGUAAGAC